CUCAGCAACUUAAAUCUAUAAUCCAACAGCUAUACCAAACAGAUUAACAGCUUCUGAUUAAAGUCAUAAUCUAUAAUCUGUUAAGCUAUAAUUUAUAAUCUGUUUUAACAGUUACACCAAACAGCACCAUUGUAUACUAUGUGCAUGUGCCCUGCAAACUCAAAAUAUUAACCCUCCUCAUAUUUGUCUCCAAAAUUUUCUGUCCCCAGCAAUGUAAUUACGAUGGUAUUUUAUUGUAUUGAACAUUGUCUCUGUGUCUCAUUUUUAAUCCCAAAGUUCUGGGUUCAAUUCACCCACUCUCUGCAAUGUUACUUCAAAAUUAACAGUUACAUUUAUAUUCUCUCCUCAGAAACUAGAUCACUUUUUAACCUGGAAAUUAGUGCUGAAAACUAAGAGCAGUGCUAUCGAAGUUGUGACUAAAAUUUUCUCAAGGCUGAUGAUUGGGAACUUGGGCAAUCUUAGGCUAGUCAGUCUGUAAGUGUUAAAUGUACAUCUCUACGUCCAAAUUUCCAACCGGUAGUUGCUUGAUAGUCACAGCUUAUGUUAACUGUGUUCAACAUAUGAACCAUGGACUACUACUUAUUAUGAUUCAUUGGAUAAGUAUGUAAAAAGUGCGUAAACAGAAAAAGAGAAGGCAGAGAAACUGAACUUUCAACCAUGCUCUCUCUCAACAAAAAUUGGUAUAAAUGGGAAAUGAAAGGCAGUAUACAAAGAAUUCUGUAAACAGGCUCUCCCCUCCCUUUUCUCCAUACUUGUGGAUAUAUAUCCUCAUUUGGGCUUAUCGAGAAUGUAUAUGUGUGUGCAUGUGUAUAUCUUGGAUUGGGGUUACUACUUAUGGGCAUUUUGGAAAUUGUCAUCAUAUUGUUGUCCUUUGAUAUGAAUUGACUGUGCCCCAUUUUUGGUUUUGGAGUAUCAAUUAGAUAUUAGUUAAAUAUAUUUUUACUGCUGCUGUUUAAAGAAUGUUUCCUCUCCUUCCAUUUCCUUUGUACUUUUGGCCAUGAAACAUUUUUAGAAGUACUAUUGAAAUGAAAUAUUCUUGUUAGUGAUUAAUUUGUAGGGGUGUAAUCAGGUUGAGUUAGGUCAGUUUUUUGACACUUUUGAAACCGAACUGAUGCAAUCAGUUUUGAAAUUCUAUAGUGAAUCAGAUGAACUGCACCAAACCAAUGCUUUUUGGUGCAGUGUUGUCGGUUGAAAAUGGCUUGGGCCUUGAAUAAAGAAGCAUCCAAAUUAAACACAAACAGAACACAAUGAGACUUGGGACAAUGGCCACCUAUUUAAUCAAUUGAAGAGGCUGAAUUCUCAUAAUAGCAGUGGCUACGCAUAAUCAAACUUAAGGCAUCCAAUUAGGGUUUUCAAAUUGGGACUUUCAAAAAAAGGCUUUUCAUAUGUAGGGACUCGAAAUUGAGGGAUUUGAAAUUAGGGUAUUAAAAUUGGGCAUUUCAAAUAUUUACAUAUAAUUUAAGUAAAAAAAAAAAAAAUUUUGAAAUUACUUCAGGAUGAGCUGAAGGACUGAGUUAACGGGAGAUGAGACUUAGGUGAGAUCCAAUUGAGAGAUCCAGUCUGUCUAAGUGUGACUCUCAUCCAGUCUAGCAAGAGUGAGUGAUUAUUAAGUGAAAAAAAAAA